rnacentral:misc_RNA from 1 species
GGAGAAGUUAAUCUUUAAUCAUAUUUAUCUCUUGAUGUUGUUCCACUUGGUGGCCUAAUUCAAAAUUGAGAUCAUCGUUGGCUUCUACAAUUGUGGUAAUGAUGUGGAAGAUUCUGGUAUUUCCAAUCGGCGGGUGAGGCCAUCAAAACACAGUUUACCGAGUUUUGGUACAAGACUUCCAUCCCCUUCAUCCUCUUUUAUGUCGUCAUGUCUACCUAUCUGUCAUUUUGUGCAUGCAUUCAUAUGAGCAAAUUUAUAGAUGGUUCAUUGCGGUCUAAGAGUUGUAAUAUGGCAUCGAAUUUUUGCUUUCUCUUUU